AACGAAACGGAAACCCUCCCCAGCUUCGCCCCCAAACCCCGACAUCUGCCAAUGGCGGCCACCGCGAUGGACCACGACGGCGGCGGCGAUGACGACGUCGUCACGCCGGGGGAGCUCCUGGGUAAUUCGUUAACCCUCGUGGCCGGACGCGGAGCCUACGCGGAAGGUCGUUCCGUGCGCGCGUCAGUCACCGGCCGCCGCCGCAUCGUGCCGCCCGCACCUGGCUCCGACGACCAGAGGUCUACGGUGGAGGUGGUGGGGCACAAGGCGCAUGGAGCCGUGCCCCAGCCUGGAAGCGUCGUCAUCGCCCGAGUAACAAAGGUUAUGGCUAGAAUGGCCAAUGCUGAUAUAAUGUGUGUUGACUCAAAGGCUAUCAAAGAAAAAUUCACUGGCCUGAUAAGGCAGCAAGAUGUUCGUGCGACUGAAAUCGAUAAGGUGGAUAUGUACCAGUCAUAUCGGCCUGGGGACAUUGUUAGAGCCGUGGUUGUAUCCUUAAGAGAGGGGGAAGGGGGGGGGGGGGGGGAUCUAAUGCAAAUAAUCUUUUUCUCCUUUUUGUUACCAACCUUGUUCACGCUCACUUUCCCUUGGGUCAUUCAUAUCUAUGUGCUUCAAUUGACAGCGUUUUUUUAUAUUUAUACUUUCACUUUGAAAUCUAUCCUGUUUGGUUUAAUUAGUAUUUUUGGCUGGUUGGAGAAGUUGAGAUCCUUAAAUGAUGUCAAAGCUUUCUCUUGGUGAUGCAAGGGCAUAUUAUCUUUCCACUGCGAAGAAUGAACUUGGUGUUGUUUCAGCGCAAAGUAUAGCUGGUGGUACAUUGGUUCCAAUCAGUUGGACUGAGAUGCAAUGUGACUUGACUGGGCAAAUUGAGCUAAGGAAAGUUGCAAAGGUGGAAUAGAUGUGCUAGCCUUCCUGACAAAUGGCUGUGAUGGUGUUGAAUAUGUCGGCCAGUGAGACCAGCACCUCAGCCUUGGACUACUGGUUGUGCGAUGUCUGAAUUCGUUAUGCUGGAAGCUGGAUUGAGUACCUUUUUUAGGAUAAGCCUGUCUGAAUCUAAGUAGGAGAUGGUUCACCAAAAAUGUUAGCCAUGGAUCCUGUAGUCCACCAAUCUUGUGAUCUGUAACUCGUGAGCUAGUGACAUUGCCGAGUUUUGUAUACAGUAGAAAUUCCGACCUUGCAUUACUGAGAUAUGUUGAUGUAUUUUUCUGGCUGCCAUGAGCCAGAUGAGCUGUCCUGCGUGAGUGCCUGGAUUUUGAGGACCGUACUGGUUUCAAACGGGCAUAUUGUGA